AGGCUGUCAACCGGUGGCUUGUGAAGAAAGAUGGAGGUCAUUUGAACCCUGAAGAAAGAAAUGUGGUCAUUCAUGCGAUGGCAUUAUUGAAAGCAUGCCUGACGGAGGAAGAAUUUGCCAGUGUCUGUCAAGCAAUGCAUUGAAAUCGACACCUUUUUGGGUAGUCCCCACGUAUCAAGUUACCUGAAGACCAAUUGGUUUAGUUAUGCAGAGCUAUGGGUGAACUUUGGAAGAAAGUUCUAUCACUGUACCAGUGAGACCAACAACAAGGCUGAAAGGUUCUUCUUGACUCUUAAAUACCAGUUUCUUCGAGGUCAGGCAAACAGAAGAGUUGACCAACUUCUCCUCUUGCUGUGUGGCGAUGUGGAAAAGUAUUACAGCUACAUGGAUGACCUCACUGAAGCAGGACGACUGACACCAUCCACCCCUGCUGCUCACCAGGCUGCUGCGGUGCUGUUUGAAAAUGGCGUGGGCGCAGAUUUGGAGAUAGAAGCUGGGCAGUGUUCUGUGCCGUCACAGACAACCAACACAAUGUACAAAGUAGACUUGCUACAUUUUACAUGUGAGUGCACCUAUUUCCAGAUGGGAAACAUGUGCAAACAUCUUCUCCUGUUGAAACUUGAGGUAGAUAGCAGAGGUAUGGACAUAGAAAAAAUCAGAAAUGACAAAGCACUAGAAAUGAUUAGCCUGAAUCUUUAUCAGCAAACAGAAGAGGAAAUAACAAUUUUUAAUACUGAUGGGGCUAUAAGUAUUGUGAAUAGGCAAACUCCAAAUUUGUGCACAUGCAUUGCCAAUAGCUUUGGAGAAAGAUGUGUUUGCACACAUGUCGUACAUGCCCUUGAACCUCCAGUAAUUUGCACAGAUCCUGAAGAAAAUGCACACAUGUCUGAAGCCUCCAAUGGUAACCCUUCCAUACAGUUAAUGUUAUCAGACCUACUGGAGUGGAGCAAGUCUGACACAUUUGUACAGACCCCGGAAUUGUACAAUACAAUCCAAAAAGCACACAGACUGGCUAUGGGAAAAUUCACCACUGUGACCAAGAAAAGGAAAAUUACCCCUCUGCAUGAUUACCGCAAAAAAAUAAAGAAAGCUAGACAGCAGGCAGCAGUUAUCCAGAACUUUAAAAAGAAAAGAUGCGCAAGAACAACUUAAUUCUAUUAUUCAUGAAAGCACCUGUCCUGAUGAGUUGAUGAAUUCUUAAGUUGAUU